AGUGAAGCGGCAAAAGCUCAAAUUUGAAAUCUGGCACCUUCGGUGUCCGAGUUGUAAUUUGAAGAAGGUAACUUUGGAGUUGGCUCUUGUCUAUGUUCCUUGGAACAGGACGUCACAGAGGGUGAGAAUCCCGUGCGAUGAGAUGCCCAAUUCUAUGUAAAGUGCUUUCGAAGAGUCGAGUUGUUUGGGAAUGCAGCUCUAAGUGGGUGGUAAAUUCCAUCUAAAGCUAAAUAUUGGCGAGAGACCGAUAGCGAACAAGUACAGUGAUGGAAAGAUGAAAAGAACUUUGAAAAGAGAGUGAAAAAGUACGUGAAAUUGUUGAAAGGGAAGGGCUUGAGAUCAGACUUGGUAUUUUGCGAUCCUUUCCUUCUUGGUUGGGUUCCUCGCAGCUUACUGGGCCAGCAUCGGUUUGGAUGGUAGGAUAAUGACUAAGGAAUGUGGCUCUACUUCGGUGGAGUGUUAUAGCCUUGGUUGAUACUGCCUGUCUAGACCGAGGACUGCGUCUUUU
rnacentral:rRNA from 1 species